rnacentral:misc_RNA from 1 species
CGCACAUUGCGCCCUUUGGUAUUCCGAAGGGCAUGCCUGUUCGAGCGUCAUUGCAACCCUCAAGCAUUGCUUGGUAUUGGUUAUCGUCCCCAGACGUAGCCGAAAUUCCGUGGCGGUCCAGCGAGACUUCGAGCGAUCAAGAUUUCAUAUCCCGCUUUGCAAGCACCUCGCAGGUUCGGCCAGUUAAAAUAUUUAUCACGAUUGACCUCGGAUCAGGUAGGGAUACCCGCUGAACUUAA